rnacentral:rRNA from 1 species
UCCGCAGGUGGUUUAUUAAGUCAGAUAUUAAAUCUUGGGGCCCAACUCCAAGGCUGUAUCUGAAACUAGUAGACUAGAGUCUUUCAGGGGCAAGCGGAAUUCUGUGUGUAGGGGUAAAAUCCGUAGAUACACAGAGGAACACCAAAAGCGAAGGCAGCUUGCUGGGAAAGUACUGACACUCAUGGACGAAAGCGUAGGUAGCGAACG